UACGUAGGGGGCGAGCGUUGUCCGGAGUUACUGGGCGUAAAGCGCUUGUAGGCGGUCCACCAAGUUUGGGGUGACAGUUGCCGACUUAAUCGGCAAAGUGCCUCAAAGACUGGCGGACUUGAGGGCCACAGAGGGACAUGGAACUCCAGGUGUAGUGGUGAAAUGCGUAGAUAUCUGGAAGAACACCAAUGGCGAAGGCAGUGUCCUGGGAGGCAUCUGACGCUCAGGUGCGAAAGCCAGGGGAGCGAACGGG
rnacentral:rRNA from 1 species